UGAGGAAUAUUGCGCAAUGGGCGAAAGCCUGACGCAGCGACGCCGCGUGGAGGAUGAAGGUCUUAGGAUUGUAAACUUCUGUUAAGUGGGAAGAAAUAGCUUGCUCUAAUACAGCAAGAAGAUGACGGUACCACUAGAGAAAGCACCGGCUAACUUCGUGCCAGCAGCCGCGGUAAUACGAAGGGUGCAAGCGUUAUUCGGAAUGAUUGGGGGCGUACAGGGUGCGCAGGCGGUAUAUUAAGUCAACUGUCAAAUUCCUCAGCCUAACUGGGGGUCGGCGGUAGAUACUGGUAUACUAGAGGGUGGAAGAGAGAAGUGGAAUUCUUGGAGUAGCGGUAAAAUGCGUAGAUCUCAAGAGGAACACCGAUGGCGAAGGCAGCUUCUUGGUCCACAUCUGACGCUCAUGCACGAAAGCGUGGGGAGCAAACAGGAUUAGAUACCCUGGUAGUCCACGCUGUAAACGAUGAUCACUAGACGUUAGUUCUGCUCU
rnacentral:rRNA from 1 species